rnacentral:rRNA from 1 species
UACGUAGGGUGCGAGCGUUGUCCGGAAUUAUUGGGCGUAAAGAGCUCGUAGGCGGUCUGUCGCGUCGGAUGUGAAAACACGGGGCUCAACCCCGUGCCUGCAUUCGAUACGGGCAGACUAGAGUUCGGUAGGGGAGACUGGAAUUCCUGGUGUAGCGGUGAAAUGCGCAGAUAUCAGGAGGAACACCGGUGGCGAAGGCGGCAUCCUGGACCGACACUGACACUGAGGAGCGAAAGCCAGGGGAGCAAACGGG